rnacentral:lncRNA from 1 species
GACAUGUACCCCUAACAAUCUUUCCAUACACCACAUAUAGUUGACCCAACUGCUUAUUGUAAUUGAAAAACAGACCAAAACACGAAACUGAAUGUUAACCAAUGAACUACGGAAAUGAGAUCAAGGUCAUAUGAUACUUGAUAGACAAACAUGUACACCUUACAAUCAUUUCAUACAAAAAUAAUAUUUGACUUAUUGCUAUUAUUAUUUGAAAAACAGACCAAAUGAAUCAUUGAUCAAUGAACCAUGAAAUCGAGGUCAAGGUCAGAUAACACCAGCUAGACGAUAUGUACACAUUCAAUCAUUCCAUAAACUAAGUGUAGUUG